rnacentral:rRNA from 1 species
AUGAACGCUGGCGGCGUGCCUAAUACAUGCAAGUCGAGCGAACGGACGAGAAGCUUGCUUCUCUGAUGUUAGCGGCGGACGGGUGAGUAACACGUGGAUAACCUACCUAUAAGACUGGGAUAACUUCGGGAAACCGGAGCUAAUACCGGAUAAUAUUUUGAACCGCAUGGUUCAAAAGUGAAAGACGGUCUUGCUGUCACUUAUUGAUGGAUCCGCGCUGCAUUAGCUAGUUGGUAAGGUAACGGCUUACCAAGGCAACGAUGCAUAGCCGACCUGAGAGGGUGAUCGGCCACACUGGAACUGAGACACGGUCCAGACUCCUACGGGAGGCAGCAGUAGGGAAUCUUCCGCAAUGGGCGAAAGCCUGACGGAGCAACGCCGCGUGAGUGAUGAAGGUCUUCGGAUCGUAAAACUCUGUUAUUAGGGAAGAACAUAUGUGUAAGUAACUGUGCACAUCUUGACGGUACCUAAUCAGAAAGCCACGGCUAACUACGUG